CCGGUCGUUGUCCUGGAUACGCGUGCUGUGUUUCCGGUUAUGAUCAGAUGCUAACUCCGCUAACGGGCUGUCUGUGUUUUUACUUCAUCAGAUUUACGUUAAACAGAGAUAAACGAUGACCGCGAGUCGACGCUGUGUGGACAGAAUAUUGUCUAUCGUUCUGCUGUCGGUGGUUCUGCUGUCGUGGGGCUUCGUCAUCUAUGGCACACGGAUCGCAGCGCAGUGGGAGCUGCAGAAGAGAGAGAAAACACAGACCACAAUCAGCAAACAACACUGAAUAAACAACGGCCUGAAGCCUGACAUACAUACACACACAGAGACAGCGUUUAAUAUUAAUACACAUUUAAUAUGUGACUUCUUCUAACUGUGUGUGUGUUUCAAUGAUUUGCUAGAUCUCAAAUGUUUACUUCAGUCUUGUUACAUUAAUCAUGGAAACUUUCAUGUUUGAUUUUUUUCAUUUUGUGACCCUGUGUUUUUGUGUUCAGCCACUAGAUGGUGUAGUGCACUAGAAAGACUGUACACUGAACAGGGCUCGAGGGAAAACAGCCCAGAAUAUUCCACAACUUUUAAUGAUGUUAAUAAUGCUGCGUUCAUGAAGAAGAUCACGAUACACGCUUUAAAAAUACAGUGUAAUAUAUAACUAAUGUUUGAUAUGAAUAAAUUCUUUUUAUAGAAGUGUUUUUGCAAACCUUUAUAUAUGUUUUUUAGAUUUCAUCAAUACUUUGAAUUAAAUUAGUUUUUUAUAUUUA